AGUGAACGCUGGCGGUAGGCCUAACACAUGCAAGUCGAACGGCAGCACAGUAAGAGCUUGCUCUUACGGGUGGCGAGUGGCGGACGGGUGAGGAAUACAUCGGAAUCUACUUUUUCGUGGGGGAUAACGUAGGGAAACUUACGCUAAUACCGCAUACGACCUACGGGUGAAAGCAGGGGAUCUUCGGACCUUGCGCGAUUGAAUGAGCCGAUGUCGGCUUAGCUAGUUGGCGGGGUAAAGGCCCACCAAGGCGACGAUCCGUAGCUGGUCUGAGAGGAUGUUCCGCCACACUGGAAUUGAUGCACGGUCCAGUCUCCUUCGGGAGGCAGCAGUGGGUGAUAUUGGUCAAUGGGCGGAAGCCCGAUCCAGCCAUUCCGCGUGGGUGAAGAAGGCCUUCGGGUUGUAAAGCCCUUUUGUUGGGAAAGAAAAGCAGCAGGUUAAUACCCCGCUGUUCUGACGGUACCCAAAGAAUAAGCACCGGCUAACUUCGUG
rnacentral:rRNA from 1 species